CCUACGUGAGGCAGCAGUGGGGAAUCUUGCGCAAUGGGCGAAAGCCUGACGCAGCGACGCCGCGUGAGGGAUGAAGGUCUUCGGAUCGUAAACCUCUGUCAGCAGGGAAGAACGGUCACUGUGCUAAUCAGCAGUGAAUUGACGGUACCUGCAAAGGAAGCACCGGCUAACUCCGUGCCAGCAGCCGCGGUAAUACGGUGGGUGCGAGCGUUAAUCGGAAUUCCUGGGCGUAAAGCGCUCGUAGGCGGUAUGUCAAGGCAAGGGUGAAAUCCCCGCGCUCAACGGGGGAACUGCCUUUGAAGCUGGCAAACUGGAGUGUGUGAGAGGAUAGUGGAAUUCCAGGUGUAGGAGUGAAAUCCGUAGAUAUCUGGAGGAACAUCAGUGGCGAAGGCGACUAUCUGGCACAUAACUGACGCUGAGGAGCGAAAGCGUGGGUAGCAAACAGGAUUAGAUACCCUUGUAGUC
rnacentral:rRNA from 1 species